rnacentral:rRNA from 1 species
GUGCACGCUGGCGGUCGGCCUCACCCCUGCAAGUCGCACGGCAGCACAGUAAGAGCUUGCUCUUACGGGUGGCGAGUGGCGGACGGGUGAGGAAUACAUCGGAAUCUACUUUUUCGUGGGGGAUAACGUAGGGAAACUUACGCUAAUACCGCAUACGACCUACGGGGGAAAGCAGGGGAUCUUCGGACCUUGCGCGAUUGAAUGAGCCGAUGUCGGAUUAGCUAGUUGGCGGGGUAAAGGCCCACCAAGGCGACGAUCCGUAGCUGGGCGGAGAGGAUGAUCGGCCACACUGGAACUGAGACACGGUCCAGACUCCUACGGGAGGCAGCAGUGGGGAAUAUUGGACAAUGGGCGCAAGCCUGAUCCAGCCAUACCGCGUGGGUGAAGAAGGCCUUCGGGUUGUAAAGCCCUUUUGUUGGGAAAGAAAAGCAGCAGGUUAAUACCCCGCUGUUCUGACGGUACCCAAAGAAUAAGCACCGGCUAACUUCGUG